rnacentral:rRNA from 1 species
AGUCGACGGACUCAUAUUGAAACCUAGUGAUUUAUGAGUUAGUGGCGUUCGGGUGAGUAACGCGUGGAAAACCUGCCGUAUACCGGGGGAUAACACUUAGAAAUAGGUGCUAAUACCGCAUAAGCGCACGAGAGCGCAUGCUUUUGUGUGAAAAACUCCGGUGGCAUACGAUGGACCCGCGUCUGAUUAGCCAGUUGGCAGGGUAACGGCCUACCAAAGCGACGAUCAGUAGCCGGCCUGAGAGGGCGGACGGCCACAUUGGGACUGAGACACGGCCCAAACUCCUACGGGAGGCAGCAGUGGGGAAUAUUGCACAAUGGGGGAAACCCUGAUGCAGCGACGCCGCGUGAGUGAAGAAGUAUUUCGGUACGUAAAGCUCUAUCAGCAGGGAAGAAAAUGACGGUACCUGACUAAGAAGCCCCGGCUAACUACGUGCCAGCAGCCGCGGUAAUACGUAGGGGGCAAGCGUUAUCCGGAUUUACUGGGUGUAAAGGGAGCGUAGACGGCAGCGCAAGUCUGGAGUGAAAUGCCGGGGCCCAACCCCGGAACUGCUUUGGAAACUGUGCAGCUUGAGUGCGGGAGAGGUAAGUGGAAUUCCUAGUGUAGCGGUGAAAUGCGUAGAUAUUAGGAGGAACACCAGUGGCGAAGGCGGCUUACUGGACCGUAACUGACGUUGAGGCUCGAAAGCGUGGGGAGCAAACAGGAUUAGAUACCCUGGUAGUCCACGCCGUANACGAUGAUUACUAGGUGUCGGNGGACCAAGGUCCUCCGGUGCCGGCGCAAACGCAUUAAGUAAUCCACCUGGGGAGUACGUUCGCAAGAAUGAAACUCAAAGGAAUUGA